rnacentral:tRNA from 1 species
GGAAGGAUGGCUGAGUCCGGCUGAAAGCGCCCACCUGGAACGUGGGUAGGCCUUCGCGGGCCUCGGGGGUUCAAAUCCCUCUCCUUCCG